CACAAAGUAAUCUUUUUAACAGACUUAGAGAUAAGACAAAAUAUACAAGUUUACAAAACACAACAGAACUGCAUGUAAUCCUGGUCAAUCACAAGAUACUCAAAAAAUGUUUGUAAUCAUGUGUUUCAUGACAGACUAAUGUUAAUACACCUAGAUAAAGUGCUCACCAGAUAUAAUAGAAAUGUAUGUAAUCCUGUCCCCAGACCUACAGAUGAUAGUACACCAAGAUAUACUCACCAGAUAUAAUAGAAAUGUAUGUAAUCCUGUCC
rnacentral:lncRNA from 1 species